rnacentral:rRNA from 1 species
UGGAAUUUGGUUAGCUUAGUGGCGGACGGGUGAGUAACGCGUGAGCAACCUGCCUUUCAGAGGGGGAUAACGUCUUGAAAAGGACGCUAAUACCGCAUGACACAUAGAUGUCGCAUGGCAUUUAUGUCAAAGAUUUAUCGCUGAAAGAUGGCCUCGCGUCUGAUUAGCUAGUUGGUGAGGUAACGGCCCACCAAGGCGACGAUCAGUAGCCGGACUGAGAGGUUGAACGGCCACAUUGGGACUGAGAUACGGCCCAGACUCC